AUUGAACGCUGGCGGCAGGCCUAACACAUGCAAGUCGAACGGUAACAGGAAGAAGCUUGCUUCUUUGCUGACGAGUGGCGGACGGGUGAGUAAUGUCUGGGAAACUGCCUGAUGGAGGGGGAUAACUACUGGAAACGGUAGCUAAUACCGCAUAACGUCGCAAGACCAAAGAGGGGGACCUUCGGGCCUCUUGCCAUCGGAUGUGCCCAGAUGGGAUUAGCUAGUAGGUGGGGUAACGGCUCACCUAGGCGACGAUCCCUAGCUGGUCUGAGAGGAUGACCAGCCACACUGGAACUGAGACACGGUCCAGACUCCUACGGGAGGCAGCAGUGGGGAAUAUUGCACAAUGGGCGCAAGCCUGAUGCAGCCAUGACGCGUGUAUGAAGAAGGCCUUCGGGUUGUAAAGUACUUUCAGCGGGGAGGAAGGGAGUAAAGUUAAUACCUUUGCUCAUUGACGUUACCCGCAUAAGAAGCACCGGCUAGCUCCGUG
rnacentral:rRNA from 1 species